AGAGUUUGAUCCUGGCUCAGGACGAACGCUGGCGGCGUGCCUAACACAUGCAAGUCGAGCGAUGAAGUUCCUUCGGGAACGGAUUAGUGGCGGACGGGUGAGUAACACGUGGGUAACCUGCCUUAUAGAGGGGAAUAGCCUUCCGAAAGGAAGAUUAAUACCGCAUAAAGUUGUUGAUUCGCAUGAAUCGAUAACCAAAGGAGCAAUCCGCUAUAAGAUGGACCCGCGGCGCAUUAGCUAGUUGGUGAGGUAAUGGCUCACCAAGGCGACGAUGCGUAGCCGACCUGAGAGGGUGAUCGGCCACAUUGGGACUGAGACACGGCCCAGACUCCUACGGGAGGCAGCAGUGGGGAAUAUUGCACAAUGGGGGAAACCCUGAUGCAGCAACGCCGCGUGAGUGAUGAAGGCCUUCGGGUUGUAAAGCUCUGUCUUUGGGGACGAUAAUGACGGUACCUAAGGAGGAAGCCACGGCUAACUACGUG
rnacentral:rRNA from 1 species